AAAGAACUGUGAUUGAGGAACAGCUGCACGACAUAUAAAAGAUACAAAUUUGUGAAUAUAUCCCAUCCUAUCAGUGCAUAAAUUAUGGAAAAACAGGACUGAAGGCCCCAGCUUUUCCAUUUCUGUGGAGGAUAACCCCUGGAUAUAUAUGCAAGCAAUUCAAACACAAAUUGUAGAAAAUUGGAGAAAGGAAAACAAUGCCGAUACACAUGUUAUACAAUUCAGAAAACGAUUCAAGGAAUCACAAACUCCAAAUAAUAAUGAUGCAUAUAAAAUUCCAGUUCUAUAUCAACAACUUGGGAUUGUCUUCUUCGGAAAAUAAAAAGAUCAAAUGGGUUUCACGAAACAGCAAUGUGACACCACUAGGAAGUGACAAUGUGGUCAAGUAGUAAUGUUAUAUGCAUCUUUCCUUUUUCAGGUGGUUUUGAUCAAAUUCAUAACAGGCAAAGAAUUAACCUUUAAAAAAAACCAUAACUACACACAAAAGGAAUUCAAGGUCAGUUAAAAAAACCCAAUAAAAUCCAAACAAAAUAAAAAAAAAAACAAAAAGAACCAAAAUUUACAGAAAUUACAUGUAUUUUUUGAACAUUCAUCCCAAUAGGGUGAAAUUUUGGACAUGUAUCUUGUUGUUAUAGGAAAACUUUUACACUAAUCUUGAAAAAGUCUUAUUUUUAAUGUCGAUUGUUGGGGUAAGCGUCUAUAAAAUUUGCUGGGCGUAAUAUAUAAUUUGGUAUUUAAUCAAAAUGGUUGAAUAACUAACUCGUAUGGCCUACAGGACAAAUGGAGCACAUUAGAAUAUGACAAUACACAUAACUCUUUGUUUUAGCUACAGCUUUUACAAAUAUUAAUUUUAACCAAACUUCUAUGACUGCACCUAAAACUAUGAAGGAAAGAGAAAAAUACAAAUCAACUCCUUCCAGCGCACGUAUAUACAAACAUAAAGUUGGUAACACACACAACGCUGGAUAUCACAGAGAAAGAGAACUUAGUGUUUUUCGUUUAUUUACUCUUCAUUCACAAGCACCAUAAAACCUUUAUACGGAUGUGAUUGUUGAGCUACUAAAGAUGGGAACUCCAGCAAAUAAAUUGAUGAGGAGAGCAUUACAACCAAGGAAAGAGAGUGCUAGUGUCUGGAAGACGGAAGAAAGUAUUACAGCCAGUCAGUGUCCAGAGUCUCUGUGAUAUAAACGCCCUGUAAGCUUCAUCCUUUUCAACCAUAGCUUCCACCACAUCAAAAUCGAGUCCAACGUUUCCCAGAUGCAACCAAUGGGCUCAGUCAGAUCCAGCACUGCUAGGCGCUCUGACACAUCAGCUAAUGAUUUGAGAUUGCACUUGAUCAGAGCUUCAACCUAGCACGUCUCAUCCUUGGUAUUCCCAUCAGGUACAUCCACUACAAAUGACUCGAUCACCAGAGUCCCUGGUCUUCCAUCAAUGGUCUCAUGAUGAAGGGAAAUGAUUGAAGAAUAGUUCUAGGGCAAAACAAAACAGUGAAGACAGGCUGGGUGGUUCAGAUCAAAUGAUUACAUAUAAUUUGAAGAACUUAGAAAUCAAAAGUGAAGGAAGUGAACACACAAAUCCUUUAAUUUCAAAGUCAAACCUUAAAACUUCUGGGAUAUAAUAUCAUCCCAACCAAACUAUUAAUAGAAAACAAUUAUAAAAAUUAUCCAGACAUUUAGCAAUAAAAUACUAAACCCAACUAUGUUUUUGGACUCCACUGCAAUGAUUAUAACUUUAAAAAACAAAAAAAAAUCCCCAACAUCUGAUAUGAAAUAAUAAUCUUUUGCCUAAUAUUCUACAAUAAACACACCAAAUUUUCUGGAAACUCACUGUAUGUACAACAUAAGCACACAAACUUAAGAGCAGUAGACGGCAAUAUAACUUUUGAUUUUCAGCAAGGCAAAAUAUUUGCAAUAGAAUUCAGAAUGAUAUAAGAAAAGGAGUUGAAAUGAAUAACAAAAAAAGAACAAGAGACUAUAUACCCUCAAUCUAUGAUCCCCACCAACAAUCCUGAUGCUGAGGAUAUGCUCAUCAUCAUCAAGAAACUCCAAUCUUUCAGUACUUGUAGUGGCAGGAAGCCCAGACUUUACAUCAAUUUCUCUAACACUGCCAAUCUGAAGGUUCCCCUGCGCAACACACCUCCUAAUAAAUGGCUUAUACUUCUGUGGUUGAUCAAAUCUCCUCACCAAAGACCAUACUAGAGGAACAGGAGCUUUGAUGUGCUUAACGAGAGCAGAGCUACACUGAUGAUCAGCAGGAUCAUGCCUAUGAUGUCUCCUAAUGUAUUCAGUCUCUACACUUCCAAAUCCAUUUCCAAUCGCUGUCCCAUUACUCUGACCAUUCAUUUUCGGUUUGCUUUCUCUUCAAACCAAACGCGUCCUUAUCUUUCCCUCACUGCAAACAGAACCAUCAGAUGGAUAGAGAGAAAGCGUGUGAGAGAGACAAAGUCCGCUUUCUCCCUCCAAAACACCUCCCUCGCCGAAAUCACAGGUGCGACGGCCGGCCGACGAUAAUUCUCCACCAAGGACCGCUUUUAAUAUGGAAAUAAGGAAUUCGUGUUAAAAGUCUUUUCUUCGCCUUUCUUUUGUCAAGAGGAGAUGAGGAAGCGUACAAGACUCACCGCCAUAGAAGAGCUACCUCAAGCCUUUCUAUUAUCUAAUCAACUGAAAUAACAAAAGAUAAAUAAAUAAAAAAAUACAAUAAAGAAAAAAUAUAUAAUUUCCGUCAUUUUUUUAAAUAAUUUUUAUUGGGACAUUAAACCUCGGAAUUGAAGUUAAUUACGACUGUGCCAUCAUGUUUG
rnacentral:misc_RNA from 1 species